CCUACGGGAGGCAGCAGUGGGGAAUAUUGCACAAUGGGGGAAACCCUGAUGCAGCGACGCCGCGUGAGUGAAGAAGUACUUCGUUAUGUAAAGCUCUAUCAGCAGGGAAGAAAAUGACGGUACCUGAGUAAGAAGCCCCGGCUAACUACGUGCCAGCAGCCGCGGUAAUAAGUAGGGGGCAAGCGUUCUCCGGAUUUACUGGGUGUAAAGGGAGCGUAGACGGCAGUGCAAGUCUGGAGUGAAAGGCGGGGGCUCAACCCCCGGACUGCUCUGGAAACUGUACGGCUGGAGUGCAGGAGAGGGAAGUGGAAUUCCUAGUGUAGCGGUGAAAUGCGUAGAUAUUAGGAGGAACACCAGUGGCGAAGGCGGCUUACUGGACUGUAACUGACGUUGAGGCUCGAAAGCGUGGGGAGCAAACAGGAUUAGAUACCCGAGUAGUC
rnacentral:rRNA from 1 species